GACGAACGCUGGCGGCGUGCUUAACACAUGCAAGUCGAACGGAAAGGCCCUGCUUUUGUGGGGUGCUCGAGUGGCGAGCGGGUGAGUAACACGUGAGUAACCUGCCCUUGACUUUGGGAUAACUUCAGGAAACUGGGGCUAAUACCGGAUAGGAGCUCCUGCUGCAUGGUGGGGGUUGGAAAGUUUCGGCGGUUGGGGAUGGACUCGCGGCUUAUCAGCUUGUUGGUGGGGUAGUGGCUUACCAAGGCUUUGACGGGUAGCCGGCCUGAGAGGGUGACCGGCCACAUUGGGACUGAGAUACGGCCCAGACUCCUACGGGAGGCAGCAGUGGGGAAUAUUGCACAAUGGGCGGAAGCCUGAUGCAGCAACGCCGCGUGCGGGAUGACGGCCUUCGGGUUGUAAACCGCUUUCGCCUGUGACGAAGCGUGAGUGACGGUAAUGGGUAAAGAAGCACCGGCUAACUACGUGCCAGCAGCCGCGGUGAUACGUAGGGUGCGAGCGUUGUCCGGAUUUAUUGGGCGUAAAGGGCUCGUAGGUGGUUGAUCGCGUCGGAAGUGUAAUCUUGGGGCUUAACCCUGAGCGUGCUUUCGAUACGGGUUGACUUGAGGAAGGUAGGGGAGAAUGGAAUUCCUGGUGGAGCGGUGGAAUGCGCAGAUAUCAGGAGGAACACCAGUGGCGAAGGCGGUUCUCUGGGCCUUUCCUGACGCUGAGGAGCGAAAGCGUGGGGAGCGAACAGGCUUAGAUACCCUGGUAGUCCACGCUGUAAACGGUGGGUACUAGGUGUGGGGUCCAUUCCACGGGUUCCGUGCCGUAGCUAACGCUUUAAGUACCCCGCCUGGGGAGUACGGCCGCAAGGCUAAAACUCAAAGGAAUUGACGGGGCCCCGCACAAGCGGCGGAGCAUGCGGAUUAAUUCGAUGCAACGCGUAGAACCUUACCUGGGUUUGACAUGGAUCGGGAGUGCUCAGAGAUGGGUGUGCCUCUUUUGGGGUCGGUUCACAGGUGGUGCAUGGCUGUCGUCAGCUCGUGUCGUGAGAUGUUGGGUUAAGUCCCGCAACGAGCGCAACCCUUGUUCACUGUUGCCAGCACGUUAUGGUGGGGACUCAGUGGAGACCGCCGGGGUCAACUCGGAGGAAGGUGGGGAUGACGUCAAGUCAUCAUGCCCCUUAUGUCCAGGGCUUCACGCAUGCUACAAUGGCUGGUACAGAGAGUGGCGAGCCUGUGAGGGUGAGCGAAUCUCGGAAAGCCGGUCUCAGUUCGGAUUGGGGUCUGCAACUCGACCUCAUGAAGUCGGAGUCGCUAGUAAUCGCAGAUCAGCAACGCUGCGGUGAAAACGUUCCCGGG
rnacentral:rRNA from 1 species